rnacentral:lncRNA from 1 species
GCUGAGGCUGCUGAUGAUGUCUGCCUCACACGCUCCUCGUGGGGACUCUGCAGUAUCGAAACUCGGCAUUUCAACUGAUUAACAUGCUCGCACUUUUCUGCCAUUUGAGCAGGAGGAGAGCACAAGGAGACGCCUCCGACUGCGACUGCGACUGCGACUGCGGCCUACUUCCACUUCCGGGCCUCUACCGCACUCGUGCGUUAUAUCUGCACAAAUUUGUGUGCGAGUGUGUGAUUACUUGGUGCUACACACAGAGAAAAGUCUUACAGUCUUACACAGUCUUAAUCGCAGUGUAAAUAUUAACAUUUCAGUGAUUUUUUCUUCUCUAAAACUGCAAAUAUUACAGCCAGAAUUAGAGGGUGUUUCAUCUUUCAUCGAUCUUUCAGUCGAAAUAUUUACCCCAUUGUUCCUACCCAUUGCGAAUGUGCGGCUUACACCUGAAAGCGAUCAGUCCAACGUUCCCUUCCCUUCCCAACCCAACCCAUCCAUGCAGCGCGCAAUAUUUAACAUUUAAGGACUCAAAGCGACUUGAGCGGCCAUCCAGGCCAUUGUUCGCGCUGGCACAUUGUUAUAGGACAGGCCAGGUUCACGCUCAGGUCGGUAAAGAAUGGAUGGCAUGCCGGAGCCGGCACAAAGGCCCCACCCUGCCCACCUGGACAGAAGAGGACAGAACCGGACUGGACCGUACCCUGUCCUGUCCUGUCCUGUCGUGUGCUGUGCUGGCAGCCAAUCAGGGACACAUUGUGUGCGUGGCUUUCCCCCCGGCUCUCCGGCUCUCCGGCUACCCGACUGCAGAAUGUGAAAUGACAAAAGUCGCCUGUGAAUGGGGGAAUAUACGC